rnacentral:rRNA from 1 species
UACGUAGGGGGCUAGCGUUGUCCGGAAUCAUUGGGCGUAAAGAGCGUGUAGGCGGCUUGGUAGGUCCGCUGUGAAAACUCGAGGCUCAACCUCGAGAUGUCGGCGGAAACCACUUGGCUAGAGUCCGGAAGAGGAGAAUGGAAUUCCUGGUGUAGCGGUGAAAUGCGCAGAUAUCAGGAAGAACACCCGUGGCGAAGGCGGUUCUCUGGGACGGUACUGACGCUGAGACGCGAAAGCGUGGGGAGCGAACAGG